rnacentral:sRNA from 1 species
GCAUAUCAAUAAGCGGAGGAAAAGAAACUAACAAGGAUUCCCCUAGUAACGGCGAGUGAACCGGGAAGAGCUCAAAUUUGAAAUCUGGCAGUCUUCGAUUGUCCGAGUUGUAAUCUAUAGAAGCGUUUUCCGUGCUGAACUGUGUAUAAGUCCCUUGGAACAGGGUAUCAAAGAGGGUGACAAUCCCGUACUUUACACAAUCAUCAGUGCUCUGUGAUACGUUCUCUACGAGUCGAGUUGUUUGGGAAUGCAGCUCAAAAUGGGUGGUAAAUUCCAUCUAAAGCUAAAUAUUGGCGAGAGACCGAUAGCGAACAAGUACCGUGAGGGAAAGAUGAAAAGCACUUUGGAAAGAGAGUUAAACAGUACGUGAAAUUGUUGAAAGGGAAACGAAAUUCAUGAAUCAUGUUUAUUGGACUCAGCCGUUCUUCGGUGUACUUCCUUUAAACGGGUCAACAUCAGUUUUGUCCGAUGGAUAAAGGUAGUAGGAAGGUGGCUCUCUCGGGAGUGUUAUAGCCUAUUGCUGCAUACAUUGGAUGAGACUGAGGACUGCAGCUUGCCUUUAUGGCCGGGGUUCGCCCACGUUCAAGCUUAGGAUGUUGA